AUUGAACGCUGGCGGCAGGCCUAACACAUGCAAGUCGAACGGCAGCACGGGAGCAAUCCUGGUGGCGAGUGGCGAACGGGUGAGUAAUAUAUCGGAACGUGCCCGGUCGUGGGGGAUAACGUAGCGAAAGCUACGCUAAUACCGCAUACGAUCUACGGAUGAAAGCGGGGGAGUCGCAAGACCUCGCGCGAUUGGAGCGGCCGAUAUCAGAUUAGGUAGUUGGUGAGGUAAAGGCUCACCAAGCCGACGAUCUGUAGUUGGUCUGAGAGGACGACCAGCCACACUGGAACUGAGACACGGUCCAGACUCCUACGGGAGGGCAGCAGUGGGGGAAUUUUUGGACAAUGGACGCAAGUCUGAUCCAGCCAUUCCGCGUGCAGGAUGAAGGCCCUCGGGUUGUAAACUGCUUUUGUACGGAACGAAAGGUUUAGUCUUAAUUACGAUGAGCUCAUGACGGUACCGUAAGAAUAAGCACCGGCUAACUACGUG
rnacentral:rRNA from 1 species